rnacentral:ncRNA from 1 species
CAAAAGUUUGAUUCUUUCUUAAAAUAUUUGUAGUUUCGCUAACUUUGAAUGAAAGGUAUUAACGAGUAAUAAAAACUAUCUUUCAAAAAGAUGGUUAGGAGAAAAAAAAGAAAAAAAUUCAAUAAAAAAAAAAUCUCAGCAUAAAUUAUUAAACAAUUUAUUAGGGUAGGAUUUAGUAGCAAGAGAAAAAUCCGGUAAAAAUUUGUGCCAGCAUCCGCGGUUAUACUUAAGGGUUGAAUAAAUAUAGAUUAAGGGUCAGUUAAUAAUAUAAAUUUACUAUUGUAUAAAUUGUUAGAAUAAUAAGUGAAAUUAGUCAUUCUUAUCAAUUGUUAUUAAAUUUUUGUUGAAGCUGAAUAACUUUCGACUUAAACCAGGAUUAGAUACCCUGUUAUACGAAAUAAUAAAACUAAACACUUAAUUAUUAAUAGUUAUGUUCUUAAAACUUAAAGAAUUUGGCGGUAAUUUAGUCCUGUCAGAGGAAUCUGUUUCUAAAUCGAUAAUCCGCGCUAAAAUGUAACUCUCUUUUGUAAAAAAAAACAGCUUAUAUACCGUCAUUAUCAGAUAAUUUUUAAAAAAAAAAUUAUUAAAAUUUAAAUACGAUAAUAAAAAUUAGAUCAAGGUGUAGCCUAUAAGAGAGUUGAAAUGGAUUACAUUAAAAACUUAUUUAUUACGGAGUAGCUCAGGAAGAGGGGCUAGGAAGGUGGAUUUGAUUGUAUUUUCAAUUUAAAAUAUUGGAAAGAUAUUGGCUCUAAAUUAUGUACAUAUCGCCCGUCGCUCUCAUUAUGAAAGAUGAGAUAAGUCGUAACAUAGUAGAUUUACUGGAAAGUGAAUCUAGUUAGAA